AUUGAACGCUGGCGGCAGGCCUAACACAUGCAAGUCGAGCGGAUGAAGGGAGCUUGCUCCUGGAUUCAGCGGCGGACGGGUGAGUAAUGCCUAGGAAUCUGCCUGGUAGUGGGGGAUAACGUCCGGAAACGGGCGCUAAUACCGCAUACGUCCUGAGGGAGAAAGUGGGGGAUCUUCGGACCUCACGCUAUCAGAUGAGCCUAGGUCGGAUUAGCUAGUUGGUGGGGUAAAGGCCUACCAAGGCGACGAUCCGUAACUGGUCUGAGAGGAUGAUCAGUCACACUGGAACUGAGACACGGUCCAGACUCCUACGGGAGGCAGCAGUGGGGAAUAUUGGACAAUGGGCGAAAGCCUGAUCCAGCCAUGCCGCGUGUGUGAAGAAGGUCUUCGGAUUGUAAAGCACUUUAAGUUGGGAGGAGGGGCAGUAAGUUAAUACCUUGCUGUUUUGACGUUACCAACAGAAUAAGCACUGGCUAACUUCGUG
rnacentral:rRNA from 1 species